rnacentral:rRNA from 1 species
AGAAUCAACGCUGGCGGCGUGCCUAACACAUGCAAGUCGAACGCGAAAGCCCCGCAAGGGGUGAGUAGAGUGGCAAACGGGUGAGUAACACGUGGGUGACCUGCCUUAGAGUGGGGGAUAACGUCCCGAAAGGGACGCUAAUACCGCAUAACAUCCUGCCUUUGAAGAGGUGGAGAUCAAAGCCGGGACCGCAAGGCCUGGCGCUUCAAGAGGGGCCCGCGCCUGAUUAGCUAGUUGGUGAGGUAAUGGCUCACCAAGGCAACGAUCAGUA